UCACUAUCAAAAAAUAUCCAAAAUCCACUACUACCAAAAAAGGUGCAUGUUAAACAUCUUAAUAAGGUUAAAUAAAAAAUGAUAUCAGAACAUAAACCACACAACCUAUUAGCUAACACACAAGGAUGGAACAAGAUAAUAAUAAAAUAAAGCAAGUGAGAAAAAGAUAUAUCACCAUGGAUCAAUAUGUUACGCAAUUCAAGCAGUAAGAAAGAAGAAGAAUAAGAUGAUGAUUAUGAGUAUUGCAUAUGUUCCAUCAACCAAGGCAAAUGAAAAGUAUGCAGAAUAUGAACCGCUAAAACAAUCAUACAAAUCACACAGGUUGCAAGCUUAUCAAGAUCAUAAUGCCAAAAGAACAUUGUCUUUGAGACAGGAUUAUGCAGGACGAGUAUAAGUGUAGUGGAACUCAGCAGCAGGGUGUCGGAACUUUGCCCCACAAAGAAUAUCCACAUUGAUAUGCCACUAAACUUUACUGACUGUUUUUCAACACAUAGAUGUAAAGUAUAGCAUAGAAUAUUAGUUUUGUAGAAUGCAGUAGAAAAUAACAACGAUUCUAUUAAUCCCUCCUAUCCACACUAUUAGAACUUACUUCUUCCCUCAAGAAGCUCCACUGGUGGACCAAGCACAACAGAGCAACCAAGCAGGCAUAUUAAGAGUGGAACACAAAGAACGA
rnacentral:lncRNA from 1 species